GAAAUGCGAUAAGUAAUGUGAAUUGCAGAAUUCAGUGAAUCAUCGAAUCUUUGAACGCAGAUUGCGCCCGCCAGUAUUCUGGCGGGCAUGCCUGUUCGAGCGUCAUUACAACCCUCAGGCCCCCGGGCCUGGCGUUGGGGAUCGGCGGAAGCCCCCUGCGGGCACAACGCCGUCCCCCAAAUACAGUGGCGGUCCCGCCGCAGCUUCCAUUGCGUAGUAGCUAACACCUCGCAACUGGAGAGCGGCGCGGCCACGCCGUAAAACACCCAACUUCUGAAUGUUGACCUCGAAUCAGGUAGGAAUACCCGCUGAACUUAAGC
rnacentral:misc_RNA from 1 species